AACCAGCAGCAAAUUGUACGAAAGUUGUCUUGAAAUAGUCCUUUCUGAUUCCUGUCCAACUCAACUUUAAACAAUAGCAUUCUUUUUCCAGCCUAAAUUCACAGCCAUUUCCAAUAGGUAUUCCUAUUGGAAAAGCAUGGUUACCAAGGUGGAUUUGCAGAAAAGGAACGGGGCAGGAGCAGAGGAGAGACACUAAGAGUUCAGCAUUACAGGAAAGAAGUUCACGGUUUUCUCACUCAUCUUGCAACUGCUUUUAUUUUGGGGUAAAUAAUGACAGACUACAAUUCUUAUGUUGUUGUGUAAGGCAUUCUGAUAUGAAGGUCUUAUGAAUGAAAGAAAAGAUGAGAAAAGUGGUAAAGAUCUUGUUGAUAGAUGCUGUCAAGCAGCAAUGAAAAUAGUGGCCAGGAGGAC
rnacentral:lncRNA from 1 species